CUCCAACGCCCAAAAGCCAAACGCCUUAUGCCUCGCGAUUUCCUUCUCCAGCGUCGAAGCCCUGGCCUCCUCCGCAGCCAAAGCCCUCGUCGCCUGCAGCCUCCCUCCGAAGCCGUCUUCCUCCCACGACCUCCCUCCAGCGCCGCCUCCUUCCCUCCGACCUACAUCGCCGCCUCCUCCCAGCGUCGGGGACCUCCAGCGCCGCCCUCGUCGCCUGCGGCCUCCCGUCCUCCACCUCCUGCCGACCUCCAGCGCCGCCUCUUGUUUUGUUUCCAGCAAACCUAUUUUGGUAUUCUCCAGCGACCUCCAUCCUUGCCUCUCUCGACCUCCAACCUCCACUCUGAAGAUUAAGUAAAACUCUUUCCUCUCUCCCAUGGAUUGCUUCUCUUCCUCUUUGUAUGUCCAACCCUAGCCCUAAUCUUCCGCAAUCCCACCUUUUCUCACCCUCAAAAAUCCCGCCGCCGCUCACGCCCCUUGCUGCCGCCCUUGCUCCUUCGUCGUCGCCUACCUUCUCUAUUUCACAACGCCACCAGGCCCUCCAUCGCAUCCUUUCCUCCAUCGCUCAACUGCAUUGAUCGCCUGGAAAACGGCAGCCUCUUGCGGUUUGCUACUGGAGCAGGCCGGAGCAGAUUGACGUAAAUCUAAGUGCUUCCCCUGAGCGACGAUCCCAAAAGGUAGCAAACUUUAUUGUGGACUGAGAUGUUCCAGCUUGUCCGAAGAAAUGAGGAUAAGUCCAGCAUGAUUUGGCUUACCCAUGGAACUGCAGGAAGAAGAAAAAAAAAACAUUCUGGUCCUUUUGCGUUUGGCAUGGGAGGUAUUGGAAAGAUAGAACCUAUAAAGUAAGUGAAGUGGACCAAUCCGACGUCCAAGGGCACAGUUCUAUCCAAAGUGACGCUACUAGAGACGUGAGAGUUCAAAGAAUGGUAAGCUCUCCGUUGAUCCCGCUGUUGACAAAGGGAAAUCUCUACUAUUUGAAUCCAGUGGCAGUAAAGAGAAAGAUUCUCAGGAGUUUGCCCUCAUCAGUCCUGCCACCAGUAAAGGGAAAUAUAUGAUCACGGAAAAUGAUUCCCAGGGCACAUCUGUUAUUUUUAAUGUCGACUAUGAAAUUCGUCAAGUCAGGGAGUUCUCUUAUGAAGUGGUUAUCAAGGAGGACGUAGAUAAGAGAAUAGAAAAGGGUGUGAAAGAACUACAAGAACUGUUAAAAAAAAGGACAGUCCGGUGCACGAAGUUCCCGUCAUAUUGGGUUCCAGGAAGGAUUCAUUGUAUGUAGUCUUAUCUUGUUUUUUGUAAGAGGUUAUUUUCAAAAUUCGAACCCGUGAUAUUUUGAUCACAUGAUAAUAACUUUACCGUUGUGUUAAGGUUUUCCUUCAAUUA